UGGGGAAUAUUGGACAAUGGGCGAAAGCCUGAUCCAGCAAUGCCGCGUGAGUGAUGAAGGCCUUAGGGUUGUAAAGCUCUUUUACCCGGGAUGAUAAUGACAGUACCGGGAGAAUAAGCCCCGGCUAACUCCGUGCCAGCAGCCGCGGUAAUACGGAGGGGGCUAGCGUUGUUCGGAAUUACUGGGCGUAAAGCGCGCGUAGGCGGCUUUGUAAGUUAGAGGUGAAAGCCCGGAGCUCAACUCCGGAAUUGCCUUUAAGACUGCAUCGCUAGAAUCAUGGAGAGGUGAGUGGAAUUCCGAGUGUAGAGGUGAAAUUCGUAGAUAUUCGGAAGAACACCAGUGGCGAAGGCGACUCACUGGACAUGUAUUGACGCUGAGGUGCGAAAGCGUGGGGAGCAAACAGG
rnacentral:rRNA from 2 species